AUGACCAUGGCCAUGACCUUGGCAAUGAUUAAGCCAGCUUGGCUAUUAUUGCACGAUUAAAGCGGUUGUCACCAUGUGCAUAAUGUGGAGAGUCGUACUUUGCAGUUAUAAUGUGUCUUAUUAAUUUGGUAACAAACACUGACUCUAUCCUUUAUAAAGAAGGUCGGGGGACCCUCAGGUAGGUUAUUCUUUCUACUCUACUCUCUCUAAAGACUCUUUCUCUCUUUCACUAUUUUCUUAGAGUUCGACUGACUUGAGCAUCGAAAGAUUUUCCACCGGAUAACCUCCGGCAAGAGGACUUUCUUUUCAGGUUGGUCCAGCAUUCUAAAAGCUUAGUCAAGUUCGCCACCAGCAUCCCCCUAGUCAGCAAUCGACAUCCCAUUUAUCAGCCCCAACUCUUUAGCUCAGAGUGAAACCAACCUCACCAUUUGACCUCGGUUACUUACCGACCUCAA
rnacentral:lncRNA from 1 species